AGAGAUGCACUGGGUUUAAAGCGUGCGCAGGCGGCUUUGUAAGACAGAGGUGAAAUCCCCGGGCUCAACCUGGGAACUGCCUUUGUGACUGCAAGGCUGGAGUGCGGCAGAAGGGGAUGGAAUUCCGCGUGUAGCAGUGAAAUGCGUAGAUAUGCGGAGGAACACCGAUGGCGAAGGCAAUCCCCUGGGCCUGCACUGACGCUCAUGCACGAAAGCGUGGGAGCAAACA
rnacentral:rRNA from 1 species